CCUCAAGAAGCGGCCCCCCAUAUUCUGAGUUAGACCAUGAAAGGACACUCCUGGAGUCUUGUGCUGUGGGAGUCAAGUUAUGACUAAUUAUGUGCUAAUUUUUAACAGGAAAAUAGGAAAGGCCAGAGUGGAACAGACUAGUCCAGUCUCCUGUCACCAACAGUGGCCAGAUGCUCCGAAAGAAGAGUGCUGUAAACAUACAUGAUCCAUGUGAAUAAGAUGAGGUCCCCUGGCUUGAGAAAUGUACAUACAAACUCAGAA